rnacentral:rRNA from 1 species
GUACAUGCCUAUAGCAUAGAAUUAAUGCAUUGGACCCCAUUAGAACUUCGAAGUUAAGCGUGCUCGGGCUAGAGUAGUAUUGGGAUGGGUGACCACUCAGGAAGUGCUAGUGUUUUACAUG